rnacentral:sRNA from 1 species
UAUCUCUCCGUACGGGGAAGGAUGAGAAGCUUCGACUAAGGUUCGAUUCGAGCGCAGCGAGAAAGCGUUGCCGCAGGCAACGACCCGAAGGGCGAAACGCGCAG